CUGAUGAUGAUGAGAGCGUCAAGACCUCCGAUUUGGAGGAUUUCGUCUUCCGUGACUCGAAAUGCCCGAGGAAUCCAAGAAACAGAAGGGAUGAAGCGAGAGAAAGUGAAAGAAUGAUCAAAAGGAAUGUGGUGUCGUUUGGAGAGACGACGGGCGUAGUAUAUGGGGGCAUUUGAAGGCCGUUUCUUGAAGAUGGAGAAGAGUGAGAGAACUAUCAAAGCUAGCCCAAAGUUAAU
rnacentral:misc_RNA from 1 species